rnacentral:rRNA from 1 species
AUUGAACGCUGGCGGCAUGCUUUACACAUGCAAGUCGAACGGUAACAGGCCGCAAGGUGCUGACGAGUGGCGAACGGGUGAGUAAUGCAUCGGAACGUGCCCAGUCGUGGGGGAUAACGCAGCGAAAGCUGCGCUAAUACCGCAUACGAUCUAUGGAUGAAAGCGGGGGACCGUAAGGCCUCGCGCGAUUGGAGCGGCCGAUGUCAGAUUAGGUAGUUGGUGGGGUAAAGGCUCACCAAGCCGACGAUCUGUAGCUGGUCUGAGAGGACGACCAGCCACACUGGGACUGAGACACGGCCCAGACUCCUACGGGAGGCAGCAGUGGGAAAUUUUGGACAAUGGGCGCAAGCCUGAUCCAGCAAUGCCGCGUGCAGGAAGAAGGCCUUCGGGUUGUAAACUGCUUUUGUACGGAACGAAACGGUCCUGGUUAAUACCUGGGGCUAAUGACGGUACCGUAAGAAUAAGCACCGGCUAACUACGUGCCAGCCGCCGCGGUAAAAC